rnacentral:rRNA from 1 species
GCUCUAAUAGCGUAUAUUAAAGUUGUUGCAGUUAAAAAGCUCGUAGUCGGAUCUUGGGGUCGGGCAUGCUGUCGGCCUAUGGUCGGACGGUUUUCUCGGCUCUUCUUUCUGGGGACAGCGUCUCUUAACUGGGGCGUUGGACGCAGAUCGUUUACUUUGAAAAAAAUUAGAGUGUUCAAGCAGGCUAUCGCUUGAAUACA